rfam:Strongylocentrotus purpuratus Contig105463_fixed, whole genome shotgun sequence.
UGGUAUAGUGGUUAAAGCACUCGACUUUCAUUCCGGUGACCCAGGUUCGAUUCCUGG